CUCAAAAUUAAACCUAACGUAACCUACAAUAAUUAAACGUAAUUUUAUUGGAUAGCGAUGGCUAAUUACAAUAUUAUUUGUAGUCUUUAUUUUUCUUAAUAUGUAUUUUUAGUUAUUAGUUUAUUACCAACAUAGAUACCUACAUACAUUACUACCUACAUCUAUCUAUUAAUGUGCCAUUACCUCAUUUGCCAAACGACUAUAAUAAAUAUUAAAUAGGUAGGUACAACAGACUAC